GCUGCCUGGAGGUGGAGGCCUGGGACACAGAAAGGAAAAAAAACACAGACCCAUGCUGCAGGCAGGCACUUCCUCCUCCUAGACCCCCCGCGAGCUCAGCCUCGUCCUCCCCUGGAACCUUCGGGAGAGUAUCGCCACCUCCAGGGAGCAGCCAGGCCUGGAUACCCGCCCCAGGCCCUGGCUCUGCCUCUGAUCACAACCCCCCACCAGGGCUGGCCUCUCCUCAAACCUGGGCACAGCCUAGUGCCAAGCCCUUGCUGAGGGCCCCUGCUGCAUCCCCAGUCACCAGCCUGGAGAGGACACCCGGGCUGCUCUCUACACUGCCAGGGCACCCUCCUCUCCACCCUCCUCACGCCAAGGCAGCCAGCAGGACCCCUGAGCCAGCCUCGGGGCUGGAGGGCUUCGGGUUUUACUCUAAUGGUGCUGGGAUCGUCCGGCCAGAGACAAUGAAGUUGACCCCUGAUGCUGAGAUCCUGAGCCCCACGGGGUCACCACAUCCCCACGUCUGCCAUGACAACAGUCCCAGCUGCCCAGGGCUGGGGAAGGCCUGCCUGGCACCCCGCAUACCAGGAAGGAGCAUGAUUGGCUGUUCUGGCCAUGCCAUGUGCCCCUUCCUGAGGCUCCUGCCAGGCUGACAGGAAACAGCCCAGAGCUGAGGUCUUUGAGCCGGUCAUUCCAACAUUGCAAGCACCACCCAGUCCUCCUGGCUGAAGUUGAGUGAGGCACGUAAUCUUCCAGGUCAGCCAGUGUCAGCAUGCGGCCGUUGUGCGUGAGGAUCUUGGGGUCACGAUCCCCAAGGCUGUGUGUGUCCUGGGACUCCUCCGUCACAAAGGCGUCUCCGUCUUCCCCCUCUUCCUCUCCCGCCUCCUCCAUGGUGCCCUCCUCCUCCAGGGUGAUGCCGGUCUCCCCCAGCUCCAGGCUGCCCAUGCCAGAAGCAGCCCAGUCCACACUGCCUCUGGCAUCCACGCGGAAGACAAGGGGCUCUCUGACGCCGACCAUGGCUGUGCCCUGGGCCCAGGCCUCCUGGGCCAGCAGCUUGUUGUUGGAGUUGUUGGAAUUGGGGUCCCCUCCGGGGGUCGCACCGGGCAGUGUGAAGAGAUGCCCCGAUGAGCUCCUGGGCACCUCUGUGGUGGGAGACACACCCUGCGGGCCCAUCUUCUUCACCCGGACUUCAAUGGUCUCCUCCACCUCCACCCACUUGGGCUGGGGCCCCGAGAGUCCGGGCAGAGCUGGAGAGUGGGCCUCGGCCUCCGUCACAUACAGUGUGGGCACCACGGGCUUCUGGCCUGGUUCUGCCUCCGGCCUGCGGGGCUGGCCAGCACCUGGCAGGUACAGCAGGUUGGGGGCCAGUAGGCCUGGCCUCAGCGGGCUGGCAGAGCAGCGGGAAGGUGAGCGGGAGGGGGACUUGCUGGGGGACCGUCGUUGGCCACGUGGGCUCUUCACCACAGUGGUGAUGGUCUCUUCUCUGGGGGAGGGAGGAGAGGGCCCGAGAAAAGAUGGGCACAGCGCCCAGGAUUGCCAGGGCAGCAUGAGAGCUCAGGUUAUUGUACCAGCAAGCCAGCAGUGAGAGUGCACAAAGAACUCUUACACAUGCAUGUGAGCCCAACCUACAGAGUCCCCCACCCCCUGCCACAGAACUAAAGAAACAAAGCACAAGGUCCCAUGUGGCCAACCUGUCUCUGGUGUGCAGAUCUGAGAACAAGAGGUGAGGUACGUGGGGAGGCCCGUGCCGCACUGCAUAGGCAAGCGCCUCCAAAAACCGGGUCACAUCCUGAUUGCAGUGGCCCCGGUGCCCGUCUCCCCUCCAGGUCCAUCCCACCUUUGUGCUUUGUGUCAUGGGGGAUGGUGCGUGGCCAACUCUCAUAGGGCAGGGCCUGCACACCCUGAAACUCCUCAGCCAGGGACGGGCUGGACAGCUUAUGCCGUGGGGGUGGGGUGGGGGCUGAGCUCAGACCUGUUCUCCUGGCCUUUGGGUCUGAAAGUGUGAGGCCCAGAAAGGUUUUAGGCAGGCCAAGGGAGAAACCUGGGUGAUACGUGGCCCCAGACUUGGCUUGGCCAUGAUGAGCCGUGUGAUAUCAGACAAGCCCCUCCUCCUGCCUGGCUCCAUCUCCCAAAAUGGGAUUGGGGAGGAGUGACGGAGGCAGAAUGCAAGGUUGGCUGUACGUGGCUGUGCAUGGGGCACUGGCUGGGAACUUUGCAAGCUCUCUUGUCUGACUCUGCAGUAACCUGGGAGAGGGUCUGAUCCCACUUUAUAGGGGACAGAGAGGGUCAAAGAGGCUCAAAAUCUGCCUGGGGCCAAGAGGGAGAAGCAGAGCAGUCAGCCCAGGUCCUCCUCUGGUGCCCUGUGCCCCUGACCUUGCUGAGCACUGAGAGCAAACUGAGUUAACACGUAGGGAAGCAGAACGUGCUGAGUAACACACAACACAUACCAUUUCCCUGCCUGUUACUCAUUUUGCCCUCAGCCUUGCACUUCCCUCAGGCUCAAGACAAGGGAUGUGGCAUGUAUGAGGUGACAAAGUCGUCACCAAGUGAGCUACUGCCAGCUGUCUGCUUUGUCCAAAGUACUGUCUCUUUCUCAUUUAGUUUUGCUUUCAUCUAACUCAGGGCUCCAUCUGGAAGCAGUUGCUCCCAGGCAUGAGCCCAGAGAUGUGUGACCACCCCUUGGGGUGCACAGCAAUGACAGGUCCUGCCUCCUCCAGCCCUCAGCUAUUAAGGAGGGAGUGAUAUAUUCCACUUAACUGAUGGGGAAGCUGAGGCUCAGAGAUGUGGCCCACUUGUGCCCACAGGCCUGAUUUCCUGCCUCACACCCAGGCUCUAGGGCAGUAGGCUUGUUGCUGAGAGCCUGGGCCUAACCCCAUCUGCUCACCUCAUGUUGCCUGAUCUGCUGAUGCAGGGUGGUAAGUUGAGUGCAGCCCAACAGGUGGAUGGGGACUCCUAAAUAUCCCCCAAAUGCUGGACUCACUGCCACCCCCACAAGGACACAUGGGCAUCCUGUACUGAGACUGCAAGCACAGCAUAUGGGGUCUGUCUCGAAGCCCUGUUUCCUUCUCAGGUCUACUGCCUCCCCAGUGCCUCUCCCUGUGUGGUCCACCCUUGGGUUCAGCGCUAUGCCUAUGCACUUGGCUCCCUCCAAUCCUCAAGCUGAGUGGGUAAAUUAUGCUUUGCAGAGUGAGGGUUGCCACCUUCCUAAGCCUGGAACAGACUGGACUUGUAUGCUUGUAAAUCACCUGGUCCUCCUUUCCCUAGGCGUGAGUCGCCUCUGAAGCUUUGCCAGUGGGGCAUUCUGGCAUCAUCUCUGCUCCUCCAUUUUCUUAUCCAUCAAAUGUAGAUAAUAAUAGUGCUCCCAAAGGGACAAAAUGUAGACCUACUCUAUGUGAGGCUCUGGCACCGUUGCAUACCUCCAGGAGUGGGGUGCUCACCAGCAUCCAGGCAGCCCCAUCUAUUGUGGGGUGGCAUCAUAGGAGCAACUUGUUUUAGGGGAGGAGGGAGAAAGCCAAGGAAGGGUUAACCCAGGAUCUCAACAAAUGUCUGGCAAUGGGAUUUUCCCACAAUACGGCCAACUGAAGGCCCCUUUAGGAGGUUGUAGGCCCCUUGAGAACUAAGAGUUUUCCCAUGCUGGAGCUUCUCAGCCAUCUGGCCUUAGGAAACCACAGUCUUUCCUGCCUCCUGGCUUUUGCAAGCUCUUCCAUCACUCCCGCCUGCACACACCUUCUAUUGGAAGUCCUCUCAGAUUAUUCAGGUCAAAACCAACUCUACAUUUAUGGGUUCACCCAUUUCUGGUCCUCUUGUGUUACCUCAGCAGCAGCAGCAUGUGUGAUUUUCCUAAUCCUUGAGGCACUGAAGGAUGAAGAAAGGGACGGUGGGUGUGGCACUGGGGAAGUGGCUUCCAGUCAUUAGCCACCCAGAGCUAACCUCCUCUCUUCCCUGAACUUCAGUUUCCCCAUCUUCCAAAUGUGAAAAUCGGGCUUGGGGACCUCUAAGGGCCCUAAGGCUGUGCUGUCCACUAU
rnacentral:lncRNA from 1 species